AUGCAGAAUGAAGAUGUAUUAGAUAUAUUGACUGUGCCUGCCGGACACGCACACGCACACGCACACGCACACGCACACGCACACGCACACCACACACACACACACACACUUCAGAAACAGACUGGCUGGUGCCUGUGGAGCCCCAGGGGUUGUUGCUGCCUAAAUGCCUGGACCUCCUCUCCUCUCCUCUUUGCUCAUCCGCCUCUCCUCUCUCCUCCUUUCCUUUCCUUUCCUCAUUUCCUUUUCUAUCCUCCUUUCCGCUCUCCUCCUCCUCUCCCAUCCUCUCCUUUCCUCUCCUCUCCUCUUCUCCUCCUCCUCUCUCCUCACUCAUGCUCUCCGCUCCUCCUCUACUCCUUUCUUCUGCUUUCCUCUCCACUCCUCCUCUCCUCCUUUCUUCUCCUUUCCUCUCCGCUUCUCCUCCUCUCCUCUCUCCCCUCCUCUCUCCUGCUCUACGCCCCUCCUCUUUCCUGCUAUACGCUCCUCCUCUCCCCUCCUCUCCUCACUCCUGUCCUCCAAUCAUCUUCUCCUCCUCUCUUCUCCUCCUCUCUCCUGUCCUCUCUCAUCCUACCCUCCUCUCCUCUCCUCUCUUCUCCUCCUGUCUCGUUCUCUCUCCUCCUCUCUCCUCCUCCUCUCCUCUGUCCUGCUCUACGCUCCUCCUCUCUCCUGCUCUACGCUCCUCCUCUCCCCUCCUCUCCUCUCUCCUGUCCUCCGCUCCUCCUCCUCUCCUAUCUCCUGUCCUCCUUUCCUCUCCACUCCUCACAUCCUCUCUCCUCCUCUCGGCUCCUCCUCUCCUCUCUUCUCCUCCUCUCUCCUGUCCUCUUUCCUCCUGUCCUCUAUCCUCCUCUCCUCCUUUCCUCUCCUCUCCUCCUCUCCUCUCCUCACCUCCUCUCUUCUCCUCCUGUCUCCUUCUCUCCCCUCCUCUCUCCUUCUCCUCUGCUCUCUUCUCUGCUCUCCCCUGCCCCUCCGUUCCUCUCCUCUGCUCUCCUCCUGUCCUCUCUCCUCCUCUCCUCAUUUUAG
rnacentral:lncRNA from 1 species